UACGUAGGUGGCAAGCGUUGUCCGGAUUUAUUGGGUUUAAAGGGUGCGUAGGCGGUCUGAUAAGUCAGUGGUGAAAUACGGCAGCUCAACUGUCGAGGUGCCAUUGAUACUGUAAGACUUGAGUACUGAUGAGGUAGGCGGAAUGGACGGUGUAGCGGUGAAAUGCUUAGAGAUCGUCCAGAACACCGAUAGCGAAGGCAGCUUACUAAGGAGUAACUGACGCUGAGGCACGAAAGUGUGGGGAUCAAACAGG
rnacentral:rRNA from 1 species